rnacentral:rRNA from 1 species
UACAGAGGGGGCAAGCGUUGUUCGGAAUUACUGGGCGUAAAGGGCGCGUAGGCGGCCUUCUAAGUCGAACGUGAAAUCCCCGGGCUCAACCCGGGAACUGCGUCCGAUACUGGAAGGCUUGAAUCCGGGAGAGGGAUGCGGAAUUCCAGGUGUAGCGGUGAAAUGCGUAGAUAUCUGGAGGAACACCGGUGGCGAAGGCGGCAUCCUGGACCGGCAUUGACGCUGAUGCGCGAAAGCGUGGGGAGCAAACGGG